ensembl:lncRNA
AUAUAUAUAUAUAUAUCUGAGAGAGAGCAAAACGUUAGGAAUGGCGACAUCAAUAAUUGACAUCAUUCUUAAAAAAAAUGAAUGUACUGGAAGACAUUUUCAUGAAUAGAAAUACUGAGGGUUUAAAACUAGUCCAGAGUCUUUGGGCAAAUAAAACCAAAAUAAUCUUGUACAAGAAUAAGCAGAGAAAACUAUGGAGAAGAAAAGGAACAGUUCAGGAUCAAAAUCAUACCAACUCAUCUGUCAAACAUGGUGGAGGCAAUGUUAUGACACAGUCAUGUAUGGAUACCUGUGGAACUGGGUCACUGAUCUUUAUUGAUGAUGUGACUGCUGAAGCAGAAGAAAUAGAAGGAUGAAUUCUGAAGUGUUCAGGGCUACAUUCUCUGCUCUUCAGCUAAAUGCUGCUAAGCUGAUCAGAUCAGACGGCGCUUCACAGUGUAAAUGGAUAACAGCUCAAAACAUACUGGAAAAACAACCCAAGAGUUUCUCAAAGCAAAAAAAAAAGAAAAAGAGAGAGAUAUUCUUCAAUACAUAAGCCAGUCACCUGAUCUCAACCCAAUAGAGCAUGCUUUUCUAAUUUACAAAAAUUACCCACAAACAAGCAGUGCGUAUAGGUGGCUGCAGUAAAGGCAUAGCAGUGCAUCUCCAGGUUUUACACUUCAGUCACUCAAUGACUGCAAAGGAUUUUUCCCCCUAAUUAUCAAAAGUAUUUAAGAAUAUCGUAAUUUGCCCAAAUUAUUUUAAACCUCUAAAAAUAGUAGAAUGGCUUCCUAAACAUUUAAAGCAAUACAUUCAUACAUGCUGCUUCUAUACACCUGUAAACAACUUGGCAUGCUUAGCCUGCUUAGCCUGCUCAAGAUUAGCACCAUAAUCGCAGGUUAAUAAUACAGCUUUUCACAUCAUUAGCCUUCAGUUGCUUUGUACCGUGUACUGCACCACCCACUGGACUAAACUCUGGGAAGAUGGCAAAGCCCUUAUUUGUCUUCCCUUGGACUGGUGGUUUUACGGCAGCUGUUUUGGAAAAAAAAUAAAAAAGAGGAACUGCGUUCAAUGAGGUUCUAGUCCAAG